rnacentral:rRNA from 1 species
GUGGGGAAUCUUCCGCAAUGGACGAAAGUCUGACGGAGCAACGCCGAGUGAGUGAUGAAGGUCUUCGGAUUGUAAAGCUCUGUUAAUCGGGACGAAAGAGCCUAGUGUGAAUAAUGCUAGGAAGUGACGGUACCGGAAUAGAAAGCCACGGCUAACUACGUGCCAGCAGCCGCGGUAAUACGUAGGUGGCAAGCGUUGUCCGGAAUUAUUGGGCGUAAAGCGCGCGCAGGCGGAUCUGCCAGUCUGUCUUAAAAGUUCGGGGCUUAACCCCGUGAUGGGAUGGAAACUACAGAUCUAGAGUAUCGGAGAGGAAAGUGGAAUUCCUAGUGUAGCGGUGAAAUGCGUAGAUAUUAGGAAGAACACCAGUGGCGAAGGCGACUUUCUGGACGAAAACUGACGCUGAGGCGCGAAAGCCAGGGGAGCGAACGGGAUUAGAAACCCGUGUAGUCC